UGGGGAAUCUUGGACAAUGGGGGAAACCCUGAUCCAGCCAUGCCGCGUGAGUGACGAAGGCCCUAGGGUCGUAAAGCUCUUUCGCUGGGGAAGAUAAUGACGGUACCCAGUAAAGAAACCCCUGCUAACUCCGUGCCAGCAGCCGCGGUAAUACGGAGGGGGUUAGCGUUGUUCGGAAUUACUGGGCGUAAAGCGCACGUAGGCGGAUUGAAAAGCUAGGGGUGAAAUCCCGGGGCUCAACCCCGGAACUGCCUCUAGAACUAUCAGUCUAGAGUUCGAGAGAGGUGAGUGGAAUUCCGAGUGUAGAGGUGAAAUUCGUAGAUAUUCGGAGGAACACCAGUGGCGAAGGCGGCUCACUGGCUCGAUACUGACGCUGAGGUGCGAAAGUGUGGGGAGCAAACAGGAUUAGAUACCCCCGUAGUCC
rnacentral:rRNA from 1 species